rnacentral:rRNA from 1 species
UACGUAGGGGGCAAGCGUUGUCCGGAUUUAUUGGGCGUAAAGAGCUCGUAGGUGGUUCGGUAAGUCGGAUGUGAAAUCUCCAGGCUCAACCUGGAGGGGUCAUUCGAUACUGCCGUGACUAGAGUUCGGUAGGGGAGUGUGGAAUUCCUGGUGGAGCGGUGAAAUGCGUAGAUAUCGGGAGGAACACCAGUGGCGAAGGCGACUACCUGGCCUGUUCUUGACGCUGAGGCGCGAAAGCUAGGGGAGCAAACGGG